rnacentral:lncRNA from 1 species
CUGUAAUCCCAGAAUUUUGGGAGGCCGAGGCGGGCGGAUCACCUGAGGUCAGGAGUUCGCGACCCGCCUGAUCAAUACGGUGAAACCCUGUCUCUACUAAAAAUUACAAAAAUUAGCCAGGCGUGGUGGCGUGCACCUGUAAUCUCAGCAACUCCGGAGGCUGAGGCAGGAGAAUCGCUUGAACCUGGGAGGCGGAGGUUGGAGUGAGCCAAGAUCGCGCCACUGGACUCCAGCUGGGCGACAGUGUGAGACUCCGUCUCAAAACAAAACAAAACAAAAAUUAGCCAGGCAUGGUGGCGGGUCCUUAUAAAUCCCAGCUACUCGGGAGGCUGAGGCAGGAGAAUUGGUUGAAUCCAGGAGGCAGAGGUUGCAGUGAGCCGAGAUCACACCACUGCACUCCAGCCUGGGCAACACAGAGAGACUCCGUUUCAUAAAUAAAUAAAUAAAACCUAGAAACUCUGGGCAUGUGGGGCUGGAAAGGGGUUCCAGGAAGAGAGGGCAGCCUGCGUGACCAGACAGGGGGCAAAUGAGCCUGGGUCAGGUGUUGGCAAGGGCCCUGUCGUGGGGUAGGAGUGCCUCCCGGGUGUGCUGAACUGGCCAGAAUGUGGAUUCGGGACUCAUAGUGCAGGUUCCAGGCCAGACCCUGCCCUUCCUGGCUGUGUGCCAGUCACAGCAAGUCACUUCCUCUCUCUGAGUCUUGAGUUUCUCUCUAGGAAAUCCCAAACCUUUCCCAGGGCUCAGCAGAGCUGGCAGACUGGUCACCCACCACCUAAAAUGGGGACACUGAGGCCCAGCACAGGCUGUUUGUCAUGUCCACACCUCUCAGGGCCCCCAGCCUUCCCCAGCCAGAACUGAGCACCAGGUGAGGGCUGGACAUGGAGGAAGGCCGUUCGUGCACAGGAGCAUGUAUGCUGACAAACACGUGUGCACACACAUGCCCACCGUGCAGGGAAGGCCCUCAUAGUCAUGCUAGCCCCAGACAUGCACACUCUUGCUGUCACCCAAACACGCGCAGACACCCGCACACUCGAGCUGCCAGCAUUGGGAGCUGGGGGCGGGGCGGGUGCCCUUCAGGAGCAGGGACUCGGCUCCUCUGCCCGCCCCGCGGGGCUUGCUGCAGAUGCCAGGGGUUAUUUUAAGCCUGGAUCAAUGGAUGAGUUUUGGUGACACAGGCUUAGUGGUAGUGGAGGGGGGCAGGCAGAAGAGAUAAGGGGUGGCUGCCCUGGAGCCUUGAUGGGGUGAGAGACCCCGGGGUCCAGGGCAAAGGGGUCACUCCUCGGCCGGGCUGCUCUAUCUCCAGAUCCCCUCACCCGGCACAUGGCCAGGCACCUGGGGCAGUGUCAGCUGAAUGGGCGAUCAGAUCCCAGGACUCAGCCAGUCAGGGUCAGCUGGGCUCUGUGUUCACAGCUGCCCUCUCCUGCUCCACUCACUCCCCGCGG